rnacentral:rRNA from 1 species
UGCCAGCCGCCGCGGUAAGACGGAGGGCGCAAGCGUUGUUCGGAAUUACUGGGCGUAAAGGGCGGGCAGGCGGUCUGUUAAGUCUUUUGUGAAAAUCCGGGGCUCAACCCCGUGAAACGCGGAAGAUACUGGCGGACUUGAGACCAGUAGAGGCUAGCGGAAUUCCUGGUGUAGCGGUGGAAUGCGUAGAUAUCAGGAAGAACACCUGUGGCGAAGGCGGCUAGCUGGGCUGGAUCUGACACUCAUCCGCGAAAGCGUGGGGAGCAAACAGGAUUAGAUA